rnacentral:lncRNA from 1 species
UCUUAACAUUAGCAGAUGGGUCAUGGUACCCCAGCUUAUAAGGCUAAGUGGUAAGCUCUGGAAUCCAUUCCAGCAGGACCACACUUGGAGAGGUUACUUCUGCUCAGAAGCUGUGCUUUUUCCAAAGCUGCUCUCAGAUGCAAUCUGUUGUGUGUGAACAAGAUUGGAAAAGAGGCUUCCCACCCAGAGACAGUAGCCAACACAAAUGGAAGGGCUAUUUGUGCACAAUAAACCAUAAUGCAAAAGUGGGCUAUGACCAUUACACAAAUAGACCAUUCAAAGGAAACAGAUAUGGUUGAAGAUGAUGAAUGCUGAAGCUAGGGUAAGUUUCACAGAGGAGCUAAAAUUUAAGUUGCAUAAUUUAAACAGAGUUCCUUUUUCCUUCCUUCUUAGAGAAUGUUUAAGAAUCUGUAGAAUCACAUGCAUUUUCCUCAGUAGUUAAAUACUUCUGAUUUCCUAAUA